rnacentral:piRNA from 1 species
ACCAAGCUCUUGAACUAACAGAGA